UGAGUUCUCAGGUCGAUCAUGAAGAAGAAGAAGAAGAAGAAGAUUUACUGUAGGAACUGCAGUUGCGAUUCCUGCAACAACAGCUGCCUUUGCCCCAGCCAUCACGCCCUCUGUUGAUCCAAAAGAAUUAAGAAUUCAAAUUUC